rnacentral:lncRNA from 7 species
CUUUUGAGACGUCGCUCUCAACGCUUCCCAUAGCUCUUUCCACUCAUUGCAGAUACCGCACCUUUAGGAGGGCGAAGCUCUGCAUAUUCACCUUUAUUUCAGCUCGCUACAACAUGCUCAGCACUGGUAAAGCUUGCUUAGCUGUGUGCCUGAGCAGGGCUGUGUGGUUUGCUGUGUGUGCUGGAUGGAACGGAAUGGAAGCAGCAGUAUUCUUUUAACACUUGAUCUGCUGCAGAAGUGUUUUUGAAUUCAUUCAGUUUGUGCUUAAAACUGCGACUUAAACCCAUGUAGGGAGCUGCAGUGAAAGGCUGCGUGUCAUUUACCCGCCCCUGAUUUGCUGCAGGUGUGGCUUGGCACUGCUGUUUCCCGUUUGUGGUCAGUAUGACUGCAUAGCUUUCUGAAGACAGCCCGCCCGCAUUGCUGUGAGUUCCAGCUGGCUGGAGAGUGCUGCGGGGAAGCGUGCCCAUUGUGUCCUCAAGCAGCUGAACAUCACUGCCCACUGUGUGCCAGCAUGGGCUGCUCGCUGGGCUCUGGGGAAAGCGACUUGACUGUUACUGUGCAUACCUAAUAUUCGGUGCAUGGGGGGCGCAGCAUGCAAUCAGAAGAGAUUAAUGCCAGUUUGUCGGCAGCCACCAUGCCUUGACAAGGAACAUCAGAGCGGACAUAGUAACCAGCACUGGACUGACCAGGGGAGAUUAACCCCGAGCUUUGAAGAUAUUUUUCUGGCCUUUUAUUUUCCAGCUGGGUUGGGGAGCGUGGCACCAUACCUCCAUGUUGCUUUUGUGUUUUCUUCUUAAUUGCAGUCACAUUGUUAAAUGACUUGGAAGUUGCACUUAGAAGCAGAGCGAUCUGUUCCAUCUGUUCCGUUGUCCUUUCAUACGGAUCCCUGCCUGAGAACACUGAGAUCUGCAUCAGCUUUGUCAAAUUAGUGGGGAGAAAUGGUCAUGGAUUUGAAGGAAGCUCCCAGAUGCCACGUGUUAUUCGCACUGCUUCACACCCAAACAAAUUAAAGGUGGGAUUCCCUUCCCAGCAACAGCACCUAAGCAUCAUGCCUACAUCUGCAGUGAUACUUCCCUGCAGCCUCCAGUGAACGAAGGGCCUCAGAAUACAUCCGCUGAUCUUUUUCUCUGUCUGAAAAAUGUUUGUAAUGUAAUUGACUCUUGUGUUGAGCUUUGUGCUUAAUUUCCCAUUGUUUGACUCUUUGCCAGAACUAUGUGCUUAAGUUGCUAACAGCCUUUAACGUGACAGACUUGCUUGUAUUUCCCCCCACCCGCAUCCAGGUGCUGUUUUCAUGCUGGAAUUCACCUGGCCGUAAGCAGAAUGGGGUUUCAUGGUAUUUCCUUUCUGUCUGUGUCACAUCAGUGAUGGCUUUUGCCUUGUCCCACCGACAAUUUUCAGUGACUGCUGUUUCCCUGUGGUCUGUCAUUUGGAGAGGUUACCUGUUACCCAGAACGUGGCAGUUCCCAUUUGCAGGCUGCAGUCAUUUGUUCUGACAAACACUUUAUUAACUGUUGGAAAAAUGCUCCGUUCGACCUCGCUGCAUUGCUGUUGUCUGUGUAUACUUUUUGGAAGAGGGUCCAAAAGGGUAAUUCUGUGAUAUUUGUAUGUAAUCCAAGCGGUGCAUUUGUGGACACCUCCAUAUAGCAGAAUAAAGCAGUAUGUGAGCGUUCUUCCCCUCACAUAAUUACACU